rnacentral:pre_miRNA from 1 species
AACAUACUCCCUCCGUCCGGAAAUACUUGUCAUCAAAAUGAAUAAAAGGAAAUGUAUCUAGACGUAUAUUAGUUCUAGAUACAUCUCUUUUUAUCCAUUUUGAUGACAAGUAUUUUUGGACGGAGGGAGUAUAAU